AAUUCUUCUCCCGUCCAAGUGAGAAGAAGUCUCCUGUCCAUGUUUCUGAGUGAUUGACUUCAUUCAGACUUGCUCAUUUAAUAUUGGCACUAUUUCAAGUCAAAAAGUGUUUUCUUUUCUAUCUUUUGAAGGCUCUCGUUAAUUUAUAAGAGACGUAAGAGGUGCCAGUGGUGAAGGUGCGAUCAAAAGCUGAUUCCCACGCAGAUGUCUAACCAUCUCGGACAAGGGAUGGACAAAGGGAAUCUAGAUUGUUAAAAGGAGCGGGGUUCAGCACCUUGGACAGCUACAAAGACCCUGUGGCCCUUGGCGCUUUGCUAAGUCCUGCAGAAGUGUUAACUCUCACUGAUCAAGUCUCUUUGGAUUGCCAGAGGGAGAGCUGGAAAGACAGUGUGGUAGGCAGCUGAUCGCCAUCUGUGACUUCAUCAGACAGUGACUUCCAGUACCCGGCACAAUCUUGGCAGAGGAGGCAGAGGGUGCCCAGAAAUUUUCAAUAACAAAGAUUACCUAUCUCACACUAAAUGCUUGCAGGAUUAAAAGCCUAUGUUAUUUUGUGACUUAAUUGUAAUUAAAAUAUAGUUUUCAGCCAAUUUUAUAUGUGGUGUUGUAGCAAAUGGGUGCCUAGUUUUAUAUAAUAAACAAGUUCCUAAAAUGUAAAGGGGUUGUAUUAUGCACAUACAGUAACCAGAUCCUUGGUUCUCCCCAAGUCGCGGUAAGUGGCUAUGAUGAUCCAGUAUCUAAUUCUACUAUUACAGAAAUGGAGACUUGGAUGAACUAAACUACUUAACUAAGAUCAUGAACUGCUAAGGAGUCACUCUGGCUCCCUUUGAGAAGAAAGCUAUCACUUUCUUACUAUACUCUACUGUAUAUGAAGGUAGUGCUAGACAUCCAGCCAUCCCUUAAGUGAAUGGGAGGCUACUUCUUGCCGUCCUUUUAGGAAAUGCAUUUAACAAUAAUUCACACAUACAAUUGCUUAUUUUUAAAUAUAAAUUUGAUUUUUAUAUUAAUUUAAAAAAUCUGUCUCUAGCAAUAUUACUAGUAUUAUUUAAAAUAUAAAUGGUCUCUAUACAUAAAAAUGUAUGUCUGUUCCUUUAUGCACUUUAUUUCAUUUAAUUAUCACAAUACUCAUGUAUAAGAUGGACAUAUAAUCCUCAUUUAUAGAUCAGGAAAAUAAAAUGCAGUGAGGUUAAAAUACAGGUCCAAGGAUACACAGCUGGUAAAUUAGAAUGCUGUGUAUGCUUUUCUCCCACCAUAUGUUGUCUGUAUGAUUUUUUAAAAAACUACAUUAUAAUUUCCAUUGUUGAAAAACAAUCAGUGAUAACUCAAUGUAAAUAUCUUUUAUGAUAAGAACCAGACUGGACUAACUGUCAACUUCUGAAGAGAAUUUAAGAUAAUAGAGCCAUCCUAUUUGGUUAAAGCUGUGAGUGUAAAUAAUAUAAAAUACAGAAUGGCAUGCAUUGAGGUGUUCUUUGUGUUUUACCCUUACCAUUUAUUUAGUUUUAUUAUUGCUUUGUAAAACAGUUAUUAAAGAUUUUAGAAUGAUAACAAUAUUGCUU
rnacentral:lncRNA from 1 species